CAUCAUCACAAGUGAAGAAGACAAUGUGUUACCUAACUCUGUUUAGACAUCACGUGUAAAGGAGACAAUGUGUUGUAUGGCUGUAUUUAAGAGAGGCAUAAGCUUGGGCAAAAUGUAUAAAUAACAAUGUAAGCGAUCGGGAAAGGGCAGAUGCUGGGGCGGACAGCGCAGGAGCAGAUUGAUUUGUCAGAAACUUGAAGAUUUUGGGAAGGACCGCCGCGCCACCUUACUGUUCAAGUGAGCACAACAAGUGGUCUGCCUUCUCAUUGGGAGUCCAGGGUGCUGAAAGGUUCCAUCAUGGUGGCUACACUGGGAGACCCGGUUGGUGGACCCGGUGUACACAGGCUGGUACUCUGUCAACCACAGCCGAGCACAGAGCCUGGUGUGGGGAGAGGGUGAGGGAGCACUUUUUGGAUCGCUGUCAACCUGCCAUGACAACCCCUCCUCCUUCUUCUGCACAGGCAGGUAUACUGACAAGGAAGCACACAAAGGAAUCAGUCACUGUAGCCAUCUUCCUCCUCCAUUACCUCUUCAAUGAAGAUCCCAGAAGCUUCUACAUUAUGGACAAGACUUCACCCUUCCUACACCUCUGAAUAUAACCAGAAACCGGUUCGAUCACCAUGCACUGCAAAAUCAUUCUGGCUAUGGAUACAAAAGACAUCACCAUGCCAGAGGAUAUACCC